UCACAAAAGGUGGUAGUUGAAACUUUUCCUAUAAAAGGGUUGUUACUUGACCCUGCAUACCUCACCUCGGUCUUGAUGACUUAUUUGCUAUUAUUUUAUUUAUCAGGUGAUGACUUGAUGCGAAGCUUAUAUUUUGAUGCAAAAAGAGAUGAAAUACCGAAGUCUGAGUAGAAAUCAAAUUGAAGCAUUCGAAACAAGAUGCGCAUUUAAGGGCCAAGGAUUCUUGUGUAGCUAGGCUUUUGGGGUUCUACCUUUGCUUGGCUAGACACGGAAAAAAUGUAAUCUUUGUGGAAAUUACCACACCUGUCCUUAGGGUUAACCAGCUACUUUAGGGGUACUUCAGGUAUUAUUGUCAUUUUACGUGCUGCAGCCAUGUGUACCUCAUGCAUAAAAGAUUAAACAUCUUAUUUAAUUGUUUAAAA